rnacentral:lncRNA from 1 species
ACUGUGGUUUUUUUUAACUUAAAAAGCCUCAGGCACAAAUCUGUGGUUUUUCUUGACACUUUCUACCAGGUGCAAGUGACUAGCAGCCAGAUUUUUUGUUGCUCUUGUUUAAUUCCUCUUCGCCAUUUGGGGCCCUGCCUUCCUUCUCCAUCUCACCGUUGCCUGGGUCUGUACACAAACAGAAAACUUCCAUCACAAUACAGAAGAAAAGAUAUGAGGAAACUCCUAGAAGGUACUUCAGUUUUUCAACUAAAGGAAACUUUGCAUCAGUGCUCAGUGACAUACCAGAAGGACGGGUACCUUGAACUUGGAAGGAAACCUUUAUUUCACUACUACUACAAUCCUCAGAAAUGCUGCUCUUGUGAAGAGCCAAAGCUGCCAGUGUGGAAAGUAAGUCCUUAA